rnacentral:rRNA from 1 species
AGCGGGGGAUCUUCGGACCUCGCGCUAUUGGAUGAGCCUGCGUCCGAUUAGCUAGUUGGUGGGGUAAUGGCCUACCAAGGCGACGAUCGGUAGCUGGUCUGAGAGGACGACCAGCCACACUGGGACUGAGACACGGCCCAGACUCCUACGGGAGGCAGCAGUGGGGAAUAUUGGACAAUGGGGGCAACCCUGAUCCAGCAAUGCCGCGUGUGUGAAGAAGGCCUUCGGGUUGUAAAGCACUUUCGCCGGGGACAAACAAGGCGGGGCUAAUACCUCCGCUUCUGAUGGUACCCGGAGAAGAAGCACCGGCUAACUCUGUGCCAGCAGCCGCGGUAAUACAGAGGGUGCGAGCGUUAAUCGGAAUUACUGGGCGUAAAGGGUGCGUAGGCGGUUCGUUAAGUCAGAUGUGAAAGCCCGGGGCUCAACCUCGGAAUUGCAUUUGAUACUGGCGAGCUCGAGUGUGGUAGAGGGUAGUGGAAUUCCACGUGUAGCGGUGAAAUGCGUAGAGAUGUGGAGGAAUACCAGUGGCGAAGGCGGCCCCCUGGAUCGAUACUGACGCUGAGGUGCGAAAGC